rnacentral:rRNA from 1 species
GCUGUGGAACUCCUACGGGAGGCAGCAGUGGGGAAUAUUGCACAAUGGGCGCAAGCCUGAUGCAGCGACGCCGCGUGGGGGAUGACGGCCUUCGGGUUGUAAGCUCCUUUCGCCAAAGACGAAUGUGGACGGUAUUUGGAGAAGAAGCACCGGCUAACUACGUGCCAGCAGCCGCGGUAAUACGUAGGGUGCGAGCGUUGUCCGGAAUUACUGGGCGUAAAGAGCUCGUAGGUGGUUUGUCGCGUCGUUUGUGGAAGUCCACGGCUUAACUGUGGGACUGCAGGCGAUACGGGCAUAACUUGAGUGCUGUAGGGGAGACUGGAAUUCCUGGUGUAGCGGUGAAAUGCGCAGAUAUCAGGAGGAACACCGAUGGCGAAGGCAGGUCUCUGGGCAGUAACUGACGCUGAGGAGCGAAAGCAUGGGGAGCGAACAGGAUUAGAAACCCCAGUAGUCCUACCACGU